GUGCCAGCAGCCGCGGUAAUACGGAGGGUGCGAGCGUUAAUCGGAAUUACUGGGCGUAAAGCGAGCGCAGGCGGUUUCUUAAGUCUGAUGUGAAAGCCCCCGGCUCAACCGGGGAGGGUCAUUGGAAACUGGGAGACUUGAGUGCAGAAGAGGAAAGUGGAAUUCCAUGUGUAGCGGUGAAAUGCGUAGAGAUAUGGAGGAACACCAGUGGCGAAGGCGACUUUCUGGUCUGUAACUGACACUGAGGCGCGAAAGCGUGGGGAGCAAACAGGAUUAGAAACCCCGGUAGUC
rnacentral:rRNA from 1 species